ensembl:snRNA U2 U2 spliceosomal RNA
AUCGCUUCUUGGCUUUUUGGUUAUGAUCAAGUGUAGUAUCUUUUCUUAUCAGUAAAAGUUAGAAAACCCUAAGAAUCAUAGGAUUUUAAGAAUGGCAGCAAGAAAGUUCCU